rnacentral:lncRNA from 1 species
GCAAGCACAUUUACACACACUGGCGCACAGCUGUUUAAAGACACACGAUCCCCUUUUCUAGGUGCUGGAUUCUGGUUGUAAAUCGUCUGCUGCAAUCAACUGGUGAAGGCCAGAGAUGCAUGGGUUUUAGGAGAAAUCUGCAGGAGCCUGAACGGUCCAGCAGGCACCUCUUUGGGAACAGGAGCAAGAACCCUGGGAAAGGAUAGCAGGCUGCUCCUGUGUCAGGCUGCCCCAAAAAGAAAAGAGUCCUGGAGAAAAAUGAGUGCCUCGACAAUGGAAAUCAUCUGAGCUUCGAUGGCAGACAUUCUAAGAAGUUGUUGCAGUUCGAAGGACAGUGUCUGAAAAGAAGGCUCUGGAGUUGGAAACUCUGUCAAAGCCUGAACUCAGAUAAGAACUGGGCUGAGUGGGAAACACACUGGGAAUACGGUUUUCCUAUGCAGCAAGGCAGCUUGGAGCAACCAGAGCCUCCUCCAUCUUCACUCAUUGCUCACUCACUGUGUGAGGCAUGCCUGCAAGCCAUGACUGCUGACCAGAGCUCCUCUGAAUCCACAACUCACCAGGGCCCAAUCUCACUGUUACUCUGCUGCUGUUUUGUUCAAUAAGCACCCAAAAUCCGCUGAAGGCUCUGAAGCUUCUAAAACAUUCUAUCAGGCCAGCCAACGCAGAAGGA